rnacentral:rRNA from 1 species
AUUGAACGCUGGCGGCAUGCCUAACACAUGCAAGUCGAACGAUGAUUAAGAGCUUGCUCUUAUGAUUAGUGGCGGACGGGUGAGUAAUGUAUAGGGAUCUGCCUGUUAGUGGGGGACAACAGCCGGAAACGGCUGCUAAUACCGCAUACGCUCUACGGAUGAAAGUGGGGGACCCUCGGGCCUCACGCUAACAGAUGAACCUAUAUUGGAUUAGCUAGUUGGUAGGGUAAAGGCCUACCAAGGCGACGAUCCAUAGCUGGUUUGAGAGAAUGAUCAGCCACACUGGGACUGAGACACGGCCCAGACUCCUACGGGAGGCAGCAGUGGGGAAUAUUGGACAAUGGGCGCAAGCCUGAUCCAGCAAUGCCGCGUGUGUGAAGAAGGCCUUCGGGUUGUAAAGCACUUUAAGUUGGGAGGAAAAGCUGAGGGUUAAUAGCCUUUAGUGUUGACGUUACCAACAGAAUAAGCACCGGCUAACUCCGUG